rnacentral:rRNA from 1 species
UACGAAGGGUGCAAGCGUUAAUCGGAAUUACUGGGCGUAAAGGGUGCGUAGGCGGUUGUUUAAGUCUGUCGUGAAAUCCCCGGGCUCAACCUGGGAAUGGCGAUGGAUACUGGGCAGCUAGAGUGUGUCAGAGGAUGGUGGAAUUCCCGGUGUAGCGGUGAAAUGCGUAGAGAUCGGGAGGAACAUCAGUGGCGAAGGCGGCUCACUGGGCUGACCUUGACGCUGAGGCGCGAAGGCGUGGGGAGCGAACGGG